GCACAUUUUUGUAUAAUCAUGAAAAUAACAAGCUGUUAAACAUUGCUUUGAGAACAUAACAUGCUAGUGUAAGUAGGCAUAUUAAAAAUGAGACGUGAGUUUAAUCUAACAUGCUAAUCUAACCACAGGCUGAGUUAAGACAUACUGUGUUGGCUGUAGCGUGGUUCAAGUAGGCCAGGCUAAUGCCGAUCGCUUAUAUAACAUAACACAUCAUGCCAGUGUGAUUAGGCGUGUCAAAAGUUAAACGUAAGUUUGAUAAAACAUGCCAAAUUAACAUGCUAAACUAAUAACAGGCUGAGUUAAGACAUACUGUG